AUUAUGAAGGAUUCAAGUGAGCCAAACAUGUGUUUUGGAGCAGCCCACCUCACUCCAAGCAUCCAACGACUUUUCUUAUAUACCAUCAACUGUUCCACAUGAUCUGGAGCUAGUCAACAGACAAACAUUUAUAGUGUAUCUUGCUGCUCACAACUUUUUAUAGCUUUAAAAGAAGGAAGUCUUACAUCAGAAAAAAUUCCUGCAUAUGAAAGUGUCCAAGUAAGUUCCUGGUCUUAAAUGUAGGGAUAAUGUAUGAGUGAAACAUAAUUGUGCCAUGCACAAAUGUAACCAAGUGGUUACGGCUAAUGAACUUAUGAUCUCCAGAACUUGCCUGGUUGACCAUGCGCAGUUGUGUUUCCCCCACAAAUUUACCUUUUCCGUUCACUCCUUGAGACUAUGUUACCUAACUCAAAGCCCACUUCUAUACGGGAGUUCAGCCAGAUCAUCUAUAACAAAUUCCGUCUUGGUCUUUUCUUCAAAAUUCUACUUUGGAAAAAGGUUGAGCCCUUGUGCGGAUGGUCAGCCGGUGGAGACGUCCGCUGUGGUAAGUCUUGUGAUUUACUUUGUUUUGGUUAUCCAGCGGACGCUCCCACCAGGGUAUAUUUGUUAAUUUCGUUUAUUGUUCUGUUGUAUUUGUGCUUAUCAUAAAUAUAUAUAUACUUAUGUUUA